GUGAAUCAUCGAAUCUUUGAACGCACAUUGCGCCCGGCAGCACUCUGCCGGGCAUGCCUGUUCGAGCGUCAUUCCUCACCCCUCCAGUGGCCUUGUGCUUGCUGGGUGUUGGGGGUCAGCAUGGUUUUCUUUUUUCCAUGCUGCCCCUGAAAGGAAGUGGCAGCCCCGUUGCUUUUUUUUGUGGCGCCCUUUGCGAAGUAAACUGACUUUUCUUCCGCAACCGGGACCCAACGGAUGGCUUCGCCGUCAAGGGACCAAAAGGCCCUUAUUUUUUUGUACGGUUGACCUCGAAUCAGGUAG
rnacentral:misc_RNA from 1 species